rnacentral:tRNA from 1 species
GCCUGGGUGGCUCAGUCGGUCAAGCAUCUGACUUCAGCUUAGGUCAUGAUCUCAUGGUUUGUGGGUUCAAGCCCCGCGUCAGGCU